ACGCUGGCGGCGUGCCUAACACAUGCAAGUCGAGCGAAUGAAGUUCCUUCGGGAAUGGAUUUAGCGGCGGACGGGUGAGUAACACGUGGGCAACCUGCCUCAUAGAGGGGAAUAGCCUUUCGAAAGGAAGAUUAAUACCGCAUAAGAUUGUAGUAUCGCAUGGUACAGCAAUUAAAGGAGCAAUCCGCUAUGAGAUGGGCCCGCGGCGCAUUAGCUAGUUGGUGAGGUAACGGCUCACCAAGGCGACGAUCAGUAGCCGGUCUGAGAGGAUGAACGGCCACAUUGGGACUGAGACACGGCCCAAACUCCUACGGGAGGCAGCAGUGGGGAAUAUUGCACAAUGGAGGAAACUCUGAUGCAGCAACGCCGCGUGAGGGAAGAAGGUCUUCGGAUUGUAAACCUUUGUUUUUGGUGACGAAUAAUGACGGUAGCCAAAGAGGAAGCCACGGCUAACUACGUG
rnacentral:rRNA from 1 species